CAGUACCGUGAGGGAAAGGCGAAAAGAACCCCGGCGAGGGGAGUGAAAAAGAACCUGAAACCGUGUACGUACAAGCAGUGGGAGCACGCUUAGGCGUGUGACUGCGUACCUUUUGUAUAAUGGGUCAGCGACUUAUAUUCUGUAGCAAGGUUAACCGAAUAGGGGAGCCGAAGGGAAACCGAGUCUUAACUGGGCGUUAAGUUGCAGGGUAUAGACCCGAAACCCGGUGAUCUAGCCAUGGGCAGGUUGAAGGUUGGGUAACACUAACUGGAGGACCGAACCGACUAAUGUUGAAAAAUUAGCGGAUGACUUGUGGCUGGGGGUGAAAGGCCAAUCAAACCGGGAGAUAGCUGGUUCUCCCCGAAAGCUAUUUAGGUAGCGCCUCGUGAAUUCAUCUCCGGGGGUAGAGCACUGUUUCGGCAAGGGGGUCAUCCCGACUUACCAACCCGAUGCAAACUGCGAAUACCGGAGAAUGUUAUCACGGGAGACACACGGCGGGUGCUAACGUCCGUCGUGAAGAGGGAAACAACCCAGACCGCCAGCUAAGGUCCCAAAGUCAUGGUUAAGUGGGAAACGAUGUGGGAAGGCCCAGACAGCCAGGAUGUUGGCUUAGAAGCAGCCAUCAUUUAAAGAAAGCGUAAUAGCUCACUGGUCGAGUCGGCCUGCGCGGAAGAUGUAACGGGGCUAAACCAUGCACCGAAGCUGCGGCAGCGACGCUGAUGCGUUGUUGGGUAGGGGAGCGUUCUGUAAGCCUGCGAAGGUGUACUGUGAGGUAUGCUGGAGGUAUCAGAAGUGCGAAUGCUGACAUAAGUAACGAUAAAGCGGGUGAAAAGCCCGCUCGCCGGAAGACCAAGGGUUCCUGUCCAACGUUAAUCGGGGCAGGGUGAGUCGACCCCUAAGGCGAGGCCGAAAGGCGUAGUCGAUGGGAAACAGGUUAAUAUUCCUGUACUUGGUGUUACUGCGAAGGGGGGACGGAGAAGGCUAUGUUGGCCGGGCGACGGUUGUCCCGGUUUAAGCGUGUAGGCUGGUUUUCCAGGCAAAUCCGGAAAAUCAAGGCUGAGGCGUGAUGACGAGGCACUACGGUGCUGAAGCAACAAAUGCCCUGCUUCCAGGAAAAGCCUCUAAGCAUCAGGUAACAUCAAAUCGUACCCCAAACCGACACAGGUGGUCAGGUAGAGAAUACCAAGGCGCUUGAGAGAUUCACUCGGGUGAAGGAACUAGGCAAAAUGGUGCCGUAACUUCGGGAGAAGGCACGCUGAUAUGUAGGUGAAGUCCCUUGCGGAUGGAGCUGAAAUCAGUCGAAGAUACCAGCUGGCUGCAACUGUUUAUUAAAAACACAGCACUGUGCAAACACGAAAGUGGACGUAUACGGUGUGACGCCUGCCCGGUGCCGGAAGGUUAAUUGAUGGGGUUAGCGGAACGCGAAGCUCUUGAUCGAAGCCCCGGUAAACGGCGGCCGUAACUAUAACGGUCCUAAGGUAGCGAAAUUCCUUGUCGGGUAAGUUCCGACCUGCACGAAUGGCGUAAUGAUGGCCAGGCUGUCUCCACCCGAGACUCAGUGAAAUUGAACUCGCUGUGAAGAUGCAGUGUACCCGCGGCAAGACGGAAAGACCCCGUGAACCUUUACUAUAGCUUGACACUGAACAUUGAGCCUUGAUGUGUAGGAUAGGUGGGAGGCUUGGAAGUGUGGACGCCAGUCUGCAUGGAGCCGACCUUGAAAUACCACCCUUUAAUGUUUGAUGUUCUAACGUUGACCCGUAAUCCGGGUUGCGGACAGUGUCUGGUGGGUAGUUUGACUGGGGCGGUCUCCUCCUAAAGAGUAACGGAGGAGCACGAAGGUUGGCUAAUCCUGGUCGGACAUCAGGAGGUUAGUGCAAUGGCAUAAGCCAGCUUGACUGCGAGCGUGACGGCGCGAGCAGGUGCGAAAGCAGGUCAUAGUGAUCCGGUGGUUCUGAAUGGAAGGGCCAUCGCUCAACGGAUAAAAGGUACUCCGGGGAUAACAGGCUGAUACCGCCCAAGAGUUCAUAUCGACGGCGGUGUUUGGCACCUCGAUGUCGGCUCAUCACAUCCUGGGGCUGAAGUAGGUCCCAAGGGUAUGGCUGUUCGCCAUUUAAAGUGGUACGCGAGCUGGGUUUAGAACGUCGUGAGACAGUUCGGUCCCUAUCUGCCGUGGGCGCUGGAGAACUGAGGGGGGCUGCUCCUAGUACGAGAGGACCGGAGUGGACGCAUCACUGGUGUUCGGGUUGUCAUGCCAAUGGCACUGCCCGGUAGCUAAAUGCGGAAGAGAUAAGUGCUGAAAGCAUCUAAGCACGAAACUUGCCCCGAGAUGAGUUCU
rnacentral:rRNA from 1 species